GACGAACGCUGGCGGUGUGCUUCACACAUGCAAGUCGAACGGGGUAGCAAUACCCAGUGGCGGACGGGUGAGUAACGCGUAGGAAUCUGCCUUGAGAUGGGGGAUAACAGUCCGAAAGGACUGCUAAUACCGCAUAUGUAUGUAUCUCGACAGAGGUGUAUAUGAAAGGAGUAAUCCGUCUUAAGAUGAGCCUGCGUCCGAUUAGCUAGUUGGUAGGUAAAAGCCACCAAGGCGACGAUCGGUAGCUGGUCUGAGAGGAUGAUCAGCCACAAUGGGACUGAGACACGGCCCAUACUCCUACGGGAGGCAGCAGUGGGGAAUUUUGUGCAAUGGGCGAAAGCCUGACACAGCGACACCGCGUGAGCGAAGAAGCCCUUU
rnacentral:rRNA from 1 species